UUAAGUUCAGCGGGUCUUCCUACCUGAUCCGAGGUCAACCUUGGGGUAAAUAAGGCUUUUUAACGGCCGGAAACCCGCAGCACGCCCUGAGCGAGGUGUAACUACUACGCUCGGGGUGACAGCGAGCCCGCCACUGGUUUCAGGGCCUGCGGCAGCCGCAGGUCCCCAACGCAAGCCGGGGGCUUGAUGGUUGAAAUGAC
rnacentral:misc_RNA from 1 species